CCCUAGCCCUGAUAGAAGCGCAAAUCCUUUUUUUUUAAUUUAAGAUUCCUCUCGCUUCCUCGAGGUAUCUUAAAAAAGAUUGCAGCGGAUAGCAGGUUCCCGG
rnacentral:sRNA from 1 species